CCUGACGAAAAUAGCGAGCGUGAACCACCUGACUCCAUCCCGAACUCAGAAGUGAAACCGCUUAGCGCCAAUGGUAGUGUGGGGUUUCCCCAUGUGAGAGUAGGUCAUUGUCAGGC
rnacentral:rRNA from 1 species